rnacentral:ncRNA from 1 species
ACGAGGAAUGCCUAGUAAGCGCGAGUCAUCAGCUCGCGUUGACUACGUCCCUGCCCUUUGUACACACCGCCCGUCGCUCCUACCGAUUGAAUGGUCCGGUGAAGUGUUCGGAUCGCGGCGACGGGGGCGGUUCGCCGCCCCCGACGUUGCGAGAAGUCCAUUGAACCUUAUCAUUUAGAGGAAGGAGAAGUCGUAACAAUGUUUCGGUCGGUGAACCUGCGGAAGGAUCAUUG